CACUGUAAAAAAACCUUGGCUUCUUCCCUUCUUCCUUCUCACAAGAUAGCCUCAUUGCCACCGCCGGCCCUCAAGCUCGCCGUCCGGCAACAUCCUGCUGAAGCCGACGUGGUGGUUCAAAUCCACAUGUCCAUUAUGCCGGAAACCCUAUUAUCAGGAUAAGUUUGGUUCUUGGGGUUGGUUUUCAUCCGAGAUUGAGAGGGGUUUUACUACAAUAACUUUGUUUCUCUUCGGAAAUGGGUUUUUGAAGUUUGGGUUUCUUUGGAUUAUCUCACCAUAAUUUUGUAUUUGAUGAUGAUUCUCAGGUUCUCAGGUUCUCAGUAUUUGAUGAUGAGAAAGCCUAUUUUCAGGCGCCCGAUUGCUUGAGGAUCUCAGGGGCUUCGAGAAUUAUUGGUGUUGAUGUGAACCUGAGAAGAUUCAAUCAAGGUCUGUGAGAAUUAUGAUGUUCUUGAUUGAAGUUUGACUCGGUUUAUUUGGUUUGAAUGUGGGGGCAACUGAAAUUCUAUUUCUUCGUUAUGCUCUCUGAAUUAUCUAGUGUUUUCAUUUAUUAUGUUAAAACUCAUCCUUUUAUUUGGAUUUUAUUUAAGUUCAUUUAAAAUUUCCUGGUUAUUUGAA